UACGUAGGGUGCAAGCGUUGUCCGGAAUUAUUGGGCGUAAGAGCUCGUAGGCGGUUUGUCGCGUCUGCUGUGAAAACCCCGAGGCUCAACCUCGGGCCUGCAGUGGGUACGGGCAGACUAGAGUGCGGUAGGGGAGAUUGGAAUUCCUGGUGUAGCGGUGGAAUGCGCAGAUAUCAGGAGGAACACCAAUGGCGAGGCAGAUCUCUGGCCGUAACUGA
rnacentral:rRNA from 1 species